CUUGCAGGAGCCGCUUCCCCAGCAAUAACAGAGGCUACAACAACGUGGGGUACCGACAACAGUAUCCCAGAUACAACAGGUUCAACAGAUACAACAGCUAUGGCAGUGACAGCUCUGACAGCUCAGACAGCAGCGACAGCAGCGACAGCAGCGACAGCAGCGACAGCAGCGACAGCAGCGACAGCAGUGACAGCAGCGAAGAGAGGGGUCGCUACAAUUUCUACAGAAGAUACUAAUGUUCGUGGACUGCGGAGACUGGUGUUGAUUCAUCACAAUGCGUCUGUUACUUUCUAUACUGUCUUAAUGAAGUAAAUGAAAACUGUCAAAGUUAGUACGUUAGGACUAGAUUUGUACACGUUUUUCUUGACAAGUUUUUUUACUUGAAUUUUUGUUGUUGUUGUGUGAUUUCUUUGAUACUAAAAUAAAUAUUGUGGUUCUGUCUAGAGGUUUCAUACUUUGAAAACCUUCAAAUAAAGUCAAUGGAAAAGGGAAA